AUGAGCACGCACGUGAAUACACAGAUGGGGAAGAGCCGCUACACCAAGACUACCUAUGUUCUUUCCACACCUAAAUCCCCGGAGAUGUCUCCAACUUCCUUGCGCUUAACGAUACGCAAAACCAUUGACAAGAAGAAAACGAAACAGCGUUCCCCAAAAAUUGGCUCCAAGGGGAUCGUCAAGCCCUCCCCCACCCAGGAUGUGCCCUAGGGCAAGAAGAAAGCAGUUUUUAAACACAGGCACGUCACUGGGGAGAGCCUCCUGUGCCCCAUCUGCAAGGACCUGAUGGUCGACGCCACGGUGACCCCCUGCUGUGGGAACAGCUUCUGCGACGGCUGCGCCAGGAUGCUCCUGUUAAAAUCAGGGGAUAACACUUGCUUCACCUGCAACAAGUCCGUUUCCCCCGACGAUCUGGUUCCCUACCCGGCGCUACGAUGGAUUAUAAAUUACUACAGAAACCUGCCGUGAUGUACUUGAUGUGCAAUAAUGUGGGGUGGGGGGUUGAAUAAACCAGCAUGUGUGCGUGAGUAGUUGUUCCGUAUAACCCUUUUUUAUACACCAGUAGACAACACAAAGGAGCACUUUGCUGCGUCUGGGGAACAAUGGGGAUUGGGUGCUAGGCCCAUGACCCACCCAAGGAUUUAAACCGACAAACCUCUGGUUACAAAACCAAUUUUCUUUCGUCUCAGCCAUGAGCAGUUUAUUCUUAUAAACGUACUUAGUAAACGUUGC
rnacentral:lncRNA from 1 species